rnacentral:rRNA from 1 species
UACGGAGGGUGCGAGCGUUGCUCGGAAUUAUUGGGCGUAAAGCGUACGCAGGCGGCCGUUCAAGUCGGGUGUGAAAGCCCAGGGCUCAACCCUGGAAAUGCGCCCGAGACUGAAUGGCUUGAAUGCGGGGGAGGGAAGCGGAAUUCCUGGUGUAGAGGUGAAAUUCGUAGAUAUCAGGAGGAACACCGGUGGCGAAAGCGGCUUCCUGGCCCGACAUUGACGCUCAUGUACGAAAGCGUGGGGAGCAAACAGG